CCUACGGGUGGCAGCAGUGAGGAAUAUUGGUCAAUGGCCGAGAGGCUGAACCAGCCAAGUCGCGUGAGGGAAGACGGCCCUACGGGUUGUAAACCUCUUUUGUCGGGGAGCAAAGAGAGUCACGUGUGACUCAUUGAGAGUACCCGAAGAAAAAGCAUCGGCUAACUCCGUGCCAGCAGCCGCGGUAAUACGGAGGAUGCGAGCGUUAUCCGGAUUUAUUGGGUUUAAAGGGUGCGAAGGCGGAGGUGCAAGUCAGCGGUCAAAUUGUGGGGCUCAACCCCGUACUGCCGUUGAAACUGCAUGCCUUGAGUGCGCGAGAGGUAUGCGGAAUGCGUGGUGUAGCGGUGAAAUGCAUAGAUAUCACGCAGAACUCCGAUUGCGAAGGCAGCAUACCGGCGCGCAACUGACGCUGAUGCACGAAAGCGUGGGUAUCGAACAGGAUUAGAUACCCGUGUAGUC
rnacentral:rRNA from 1 species